UGGGGAAUAUUGGACAAUGGGGGCAACCCUGAUCCAGCCAUGCCGCGUGAGUGACGAAGGCCUUCGGGUUGUAAAGCUCUUUUCCUCGUGACGAUAAUGACGGUAGCGAGGGAAUAAGCCCCGGCUAACUCCGUGCCAGCAGCCGCGGUAAUACGGAGGGGGCGAGCGUUGUUCGGAAUUACUGGGCGUAAAGGGCGCGCAGGCGGUCAGACAAGUCGGGCGUGAAAGCCCCGGGCUCAACCCGGGAAAUGCGCUUGAUACUGUUUGGCUGGAGUAUGGAAGAGGCAAGCGGAAUACCCGAGUGUAGAGGUGAAAUUCGUAGAGAUUGGGUAGAACACCGGAGGCGAAGGCGGCUUGCUGGUCCAUAACUGACGCUGAGGCGCGAAAGCGUGGGGAGCA
rnacentral:rRNA from 1 species